GACUCGGUUAAUUCAUCUUCAGUGAAUCCUGAAUGUGAUGUGACAUACAGUUCGGUGAAUAAACGUCCCAAGACUAAGGCAGACGACUCAGUUCAUUUAUCUACAGUGAAUCCUGAAAGUGAUGUGACGUACAGUUGUGUGAUUAAACUUCCCAAGACUAAAGCAUGUGAACCAGCAGAUGUAGAUGAAAAUGGGAUCUACAGCUCUGUGUGGAAAUAGGUGUUUGAUCUGGAUUGAAUACAUGGACAAAAUAUAAACACAUUGAUGCAAAACACCAAAACAAACAGUUGUUUUGAUAAGAUAUGACAUUAUCAAGUUAUUCUAGCUUUUGACACACCCACCUCUAUAUUUACAAUUCAGUCUGAAUAUAUUUUGUUUGUUUUAUCAACCCCUAGGGCUUAACUUAGCUCCCUUCUCUUUACAUGACAUUAUUUCUAUGCUCGCUAGUCCGGUUUAAUCUUGGCUGCUGUACUCUGCUGCUUAUGUUGUCCAUCGAUUUUUCCGUGUUUUCUCCUGCAUGUACUAAUGUAAAGCUGCCUUGAAACAAUUAAACAAUUGUGAAAAGCGCUAUAUAAAUAAAGAAAUUGAAUGAAUAUAUGCAAACAUAUAAAGAAUGUGCCUAAAUGUGUCUUAAUUAAAUAAAUUAAUUAAAUGUGUUUGUAUUUCAAUAAUUUCAUCAGUUGAUUUAUAUAAGCAUAUUCAGAAACAAGCAUGUUGGUGUUUGUAAAAUAACUAAGGUUGUAAUGUACUUGCCUUUAAGUGUAAACGUCAAAAGAAACUUCAUAACAAGAAAAAAUUGCUUCUGAAUAUGUCUUAUCACUUUCUGUUUAACAUUUUGCAUCAUGUAAUUUUCCCAUUACUGAUUUCUGUAUUAUUCUCUUAAAGCAAAAUGUAAAGCUGUUUUAUUUGUAAAUUGCUUUGGAUUAAAUUAUUAACUUGGAAUGUGAAGGGCAUAGGCCAUGUAAUUAAAAGGAAAGAAAAAAAUCCUUAAAAACGUCUUGUGGAAUGUCCCCUUUAAACAUGCAAUUUAAGAGUUUUCUGUCCACUCCCAAUAAAAACAGAAUGUUGUGCUUUUCGCAAAAUUAAGAAAAUAAACAUGAUGCGCGUUUUGUUCUCUCUCCCUCAGUGAAGUCCUUUCAAAUAUGCGUCAGAAAAAUUAACUGUAACUUAACGAAUACAUGUCAUAGAAACAAAAGGUAAAUGUCUACAU